AAGCCUGCCCGCCCGCCGCCGCGCGACACCCCGGCGCCGAGCCCGGGUCCGAGUGACGCCUCCUGUUGGCCGCGGCGGUUUGCUCAGCUCCUGGUCCCGGGCCGCGCCAACUCCGCGCAGUGCAGCUGAGGCGCCGCCCGGCUCUGCAAUUCCGGGUGUUCCCGGGCGUCCCCGCCCCCGCCUUCCCCUCAGCAGGCGCCUGGGCGCCCCCCAACUCCUGUCCAGCCUCCUUCGGACCAACGACCCGCCCCGGCCUCCCUGCAUCCCAGAGACUACUCGCGGCGCCUUCUCUCUCUAAUUCUUCUUUACCCCCUCAGCUCACCUCCCGAGGAGCGUCCAACGGGUCUUGGGGGCUCGCAGAACUGAGCCGCGAAGCGCGGGGGAAAGGCGGCGAGCGCUUCCCGCGGCGGCGGGGAGGAAGACGAAGACUUGUGCGCUCUCAAAGUUAAUGUGAAAACAUCUUCCAAACUUCUGGGCUGCAGCCCGAAACGCGGGGUAGCCGGAAGGCUCCCGUAGCUGCCGUGCCCUCCCCCCCGGGGUCUGGGAAGGGCUCCUAGGCGCCUCAGAGCACCCGGGGUCGGCCCGCGGGGGAGGCCGCAUAGACGCGCCCCCACCCUGACGAACGGGGAAGGGGCAGGCGCCUGCGACCCCAACUAAAUCCUUCGGCGCCUCGGUCUGAUGUAUACACCUGCCACAGGCUCUAAGUGCCUAAGAAGUGUAAACCAAUUCCAUCUUCAUGCUGACGGGACCCGAGUGAAUUCGGUACAAAGGGCAGUCUCAAAAUCAAUCACCCCGAUCCGCGAGAGCCCCGCACACUGCCGGCGCGGGGCCGGGGCCGGGGCCGGAGCCGCGAGGCCGGCGCUCGCACUCCCCGCUAGGGUUCUUCAGCCCCUCAGUGCCCUCCCGGAGCCCUUUACCUGAACGGGAGCCUGAGAGAACGGACGACAGGAGCCGAGUGGAAAGCAGUGCCCGCGCCGGAGAUCAGCGCCGAGGGCGGGAGCCGACGUCUAGGGACCACAGAGCCGCGACGCGGCGAGCCGCGCACGGGCCAUUCCGCCGCCGCGAACGCAGAAAGCCUCGACCGCGCUCCGAGUCCAGCCAGCUCGCCUGUCACCUCGAUCUCUGCUUUAAGUGGCUUCCGGUCGCCUCCUCCCGACGGCCCGUCGCGGAGGCGGAGCCUGGGCGGCCGGAGUUCGGUGGGGUGGGGUGAGGAGGCCGGGCGCUCAGUGGGUGUCGGGAAGAAGACCCGCCCCCUGCGCGCGCGUGCGCGUUCGUUCGAGGGGAGGCGCGCGAGUUCUGUGCGGUGGACUUAUGCUCCCGCGAGGGGGCGUGUCCUUUCUCGCGUCCGCAGUGUCCCUGAGGGUCCGCGUCUACACGCGGCUGUGAGGAAGGAAGGCGCGUGCCGCGUGGGACGGGCUCCACCUGCCUGCGGACAGAUGGAGGGUCACUUUGUUCCGAGAAGACCCAGACACCCGAGGGAGGAUGUGAAACGGAACGACCCGUUUCGGUGCGGUUGGCUUUGUUUAUUUGCCUACUCCCCAGACGCCUCCAGCCUCUGAUUCCGGCACACCCUGUGAGGAAGCAAACGGCUGCCUCCCCCACUGCCACCAGACGAGGUCGCCUGCCCCGAGCCGGACAGGCUGGACAGGCUGCGCACCUGCGGCGGCCGACUAUUUCGUGGGCCUUGUACGCCACCUUGCAGAAGGGAAGCUGUGAGGUUUUGGCGAUAGAAGCGCAUUUACUUGUGUUUUAAAGCCCACAAACGCCGUAGUGACUAACUUAUUCAUUCAGCAAAUGUCUGUCAGAGCGUCUAUUACGUACCAGGCAUGUAGCCUGAACUUCACGCCUGUCCUCAUGGAGCUUGCAGAGCACCUCUGAAAUACACACCACAUACGGAAUGGCCAUAUUUUCUGGGUUGUAAAAUACUUUGAAUUGUAACUCCAUAUAUUGAAUAGAUUUUCAGUAGUGAGGGAAGAAACAAUACAUUUAGUUCAUAUAAUCCAUAUGUACGAAAAAGAAGUGCUGGUAAUUCCAGACAUGGAAGUCAGUAAAACUAGGAGCUAAGAGGUAAUAAUCAUAGACAUUAUGAUUCUAAGCCUUUGUUAAACGGUUCUAAACCAGACUGGGUAAGCGCACCAGCAAUGAAUAGAUUAAGGGUGUUAUCUCCUUAGCAGCUUAUUUCAAAUUGCAUCAAGGCAGGGCCAUUAAACUAAGGUGAGAAUGAUAUGGGCGGAAUUCAGAGGACAAUAGGUAAAAGAUGAAAAUCUUUACAUUUAAAAUCUUAUUGAGACAAGAUCUUGGUCAGUGUCUACUCAUACAUAGAAUUGCCUAGAAGCUAAUAUUUGAGUUUACCAUAUUACUGUUGGCUUUCUAUUUUUCUCAUUUGUUCUGUUUCUUUUCUGUCCUUUUGUGCCUUCUUGUAGAUUAUUAAUUCCACUCCCUUGUAACAAUUAGGUUGUUAUACAUUCUUUAUGCUUUUAGUAGUAUUUCAGUUAUUUAUUGCUGUGUUCAAACCACCCCCAAAAUAUAAUGACUUAAAACAAAAAAAAAAAAAAA
rnacentral:lncRNA from 1 species